rnacentral:rRNA from 1 species
GACGAACGCUGGCGGCGUGCUUAACACAUGCAAGUCGAACGGUGAAGCGCCUUCCUUUUUGGUGGGUGUGGAUGAGUGGCGAACGGGUGAGUAACACGUGAGUAACCUGCCCCCUUCUUCUGGAUAACCGCAUGAAAGUGUGGCUAAUACGGGAUAUUCUGGGUCUGUCGCAUGAUGGGUCUGGGAAAGAUAUUGUUUCGGUGGGGGAUGGGCUCGCGGCCUAUCAGCUUGUUGGUGGGGUGAUGGCCUACCAAGGCGGUGACGGGUAGCCGGCCUGAGAGGGUGGACGGUCACACUGGGACUGAGACACGGACCAGACUCCUGCGGGAGGCAGCAGUGGGGAAUAUUGCACAAUGGGCGAAAGCCUGAUGCAGCGGCGCCGCGUGAGGGAUGGAGGCCUGCGGGUUGUGAACCUCUUUCGCCAGUGAAGCAGGCCUGCCUCGUAUGUGGGUGGGUUGACGGUAGCUGGAUAAGAAGCGCCGGCUAACUACGUG